GCCGAGCAGGGGCCGCCGAGAGGGCACGGCAUGCUGCCCGAUUUCACUCAGGUUUGCCUCACCACCACGCUCCCCACAGAGCUAACGGACACCUCAUGGCCACGGAAUGCUGCCCAAUUUGACCCAGAAUUUGCUCACCUCCAACCCCCCCACGUCACAGAGAAAGAGAGAGGGAACAGGUACCUUUUGACCACGGCAUGCUGCCCGAUUUUACUCAGGAUUUGCACUCCUCCACGCUCCCCCACGCCACAGACUGAGAGAGAGAGAACAGGCACCUCAUGGCCACAGAAUGCUGCCCAAUUUCCCCCAGAACUUGCUCUCCUCCAACCCCACCACAACACAGAGAGAGAGAGAGAGAGAAGGAACAGGUACCUUAUGACCACAGAAUGCUGCCCGAUUUGACUCAGAAUUUGCUCACCGCCACGCUCCCCCCCAGAGGUCACGGGCACCUCAUGGCCACGGAAUGCUGCCCAAUUUUACUCAGGAUUUGCUCUCCUCCAACCCCCCCACGUCACUGACAGAGAGAGAGAGAGGUAACAGGCACCUCAUGGCCACAGAACUCUGACCAACUCUCCUCAGACUUCUCCCACGGAACCCUGGCCACUUUGACCCCACUACAGGCAACACCUCCAACAAGGCCACAAAACUCUGCCAAAUUCCUCCACACCGUGAGGGACAGCACCUGCUCGGCCAACAAACGACCCAAUCAUCAACCAAACACACCCAGGAGCUACAGCCCUCCACCAACCUCCUGCUACACAACUGAGCCCAACCACCAACAGGAACCUUCUCCAAAGACAACCAACUUCCCAGCACCUUGCUGCACUCCACUACAUCACAGCUACAUGCUAGCACCCACGGCCAUGUGCUACUAGCAUGACGCACAAACAACUGGAUCCAUGUGCUGCAUGCCAACCUCUUGUCUCAAACUACCCUGCUACUCUCUCUCCCACAGCUCCUCACCUCAUGUCUCUUACCUCUUCAAUAAACUAUAAUAAACCUGCUGCUUGUCUGUUGUGCCUCUGUCUGCCCACACUCCCAACACCACAUCACACAUGUGUUGUCACAAAGCAAGCCACACACUAACUACACCUUCCUUCACCACAACUCCCCAGUCCACAUCAACUUACAGCCUGUUGGUGCUGACAAUUACAUUCUUCACUCACCACUAUUGCCAUCUAACUGCCGCACUGCGCGGUGCACCACAGACACCAACAGCUUCGACACAGUUGCCUCACCUAAGUCUUAAAGUGUAU